rnacentral:rRNA from 1 species
CUCNGGAUGAACGCUAGCGGCAGGCNUAAUACAUGCAAGUCGAACGGUAAGGCUCCUUCGGGAGUACACGANUGGCGCACGGGUGAGUAACGCGUAUGCAACCUACCUUGAACUGAGGGAUAGCCCAGAGAAAUCUGGAUUAAUACUUCAUAUUAAUAUGAAUUGGCAUCAAUUUAUAUUUAAAGNUCCGGCGGUUUAAGAUGGGCAUGCGUGACAUUAGUUAGUUGGUAAGGUAACGGCUUACCAAGACAGCGAUGUCUAGGGGUUCUGAGAGGANNNCCCCCACACUGGUACUGAGACACGGACCAGACUCCUACGGGAGGCAGCAGUAAGGAAUAUUGGGCAAUGGACGAAAGUCUGACCCAGCCAUGCCGCGUGCAGGAUGACAGCCCUAUGGGUCGUAAACUGCUUUUAUAUGGGAAGAAACUCCACUACGUGUAGUGGACUGACGGUACCAUACGAAUAAGGAUCGGCUAACUCCGUGCCAGCAGCCGCGGUAAUACGGAGGAUCCAAGCGUUAUCAGGAUUUAUUGGGUUUAAAGGGUGCGCAGGCGGGCUAAUAAGUCAGUGGUGAAAUCUCUCGGCUCAACCGAGAAACUGCCAUUGAAACUGUUAGUCUUGAGUACAGUUGUAGUGGGCGGAAUAUAGCAUGUAGCGGUGAAAUGCUUAGAUAUGCUAUAGAACACCGAUCGCGAAGGCAGCUCACUAAGCUGUAACUGACGCUCAGGCACGAAAGCGUGGGGAGCAAACAGGAUUAGAUACCCUGGUAGUCCACGCCGUAAACGAUGAUUACUCGAUGUUGGCAAUACACCGUCAGCGUCCAAGCGAAAGCGUUAAGUAAUCCACCUGGGGAGUACGCUCGCAAGAGUGAAACUCAAAGGAAUUGACGG